GCCACAGAAAAGUGUUUUCGGUGUUUCAACCUGCAAUAGACAAAAAUGUAUUGCAUAUUCAACGAGUAGGGGCGUUUGUGAGACUCUGCGAACGCGUCAUAACUUUUAUACCCGCUACUCAGUCUGUAUGUAUGUAUGAGUGUAUGUAUAUUCGUAUGUAACCGUAUUGUCAUACAUACAUAAGUAUGUAUUUAACCUCGUGACUUAUUCGAAUAUCAGAGGGGCUUUGACUAGUGAAAAAGUGCGGGAAAAACUAAACAACUUUCAACUUUAGUUUUAGCUCGAUUUCAAAGUUUAAAUAAAAGUGAAAGUAUGGUAUUGUUUUGAGUUAUUUAAAUUAACUGCUAAUACAUGUUUUUUUUUAUAGUUGUGUGUAGUUAUUUAAUUGUCCAAUGUUUUGUUCGUUUUUAUUUUAGCUUGGUAAUAAAAUUUGCACUUUUGUUCUGUGGAAUAUUACUUUUGUUCAGCACACCACUUCACAAAGGUUCAAUUUAUAUGUGGUAGUGCAGUUGCGCAGAGUGUUUAUCAUAAUCUACUUUAGCACCACUCAGUGAAGGAGCGAACGCUCCCCCACAUUUUUGCCCCGUCCUCCUUUGUAUUAUAUUCUAUUAGUAGGCGAGACCAUCCCAGGAAUUCAUUCACUUAUUUAGUUUAGUAUAUUUAACUUCGUUUCUCUAGAUUUAAUGUCCGACGCCAUGAAGUCAUUUCUGUUAUUAUUGUAGGCUAAGUAUUUCUAUUUCCCUAGUUUUAAGCAUAGACACACCCCUGAACGGCGACACCGUUCAGAGAGAGGGCCGACAGCGAGCAACAAGAAACAAUAAGGAGGCCUUGUCGGUGGCAGAGUUACUCGCUGCUUUUUCUUGCAAUCAGUGCUCGUUUGCUUGUCGACACGAAAGGUUGGUUGCGGACAAAAUUUUUGUUCAAAUGAUUUAAAAAUUUUUAUUUUUUCAAAACACAGGCUACUUAUCAUGAAGCAAACUAUUCAAAAUUAAAUGAUGUAACAAUGCCUUCAAAUGGUUAAUCAGCACACUCCAUGUCGUUGCCCUCACACUUACAGCGAGAGCCCUUUUACUCGCUCUUUUCACUCGGCCGAAUUUAUUGCUUUAUGGGCCUCCUUAUAGUUUCUUUAUGGAUGGGGGCGAGAAGCUGCCGACGCUGACGCCGACGCCAAGGCAGCCGCAUGAAGAAACUAUAGGGAGGCCUCGUCGGCAACACUAAGCAGAAGAGGCGAGUGAAAAGACGUGCCAGCGGAAUAAAAAGUGCCAAGUUGAGAGUGCGUGAAGGGAAGCAGGAGAGAAGCAACGGGACCAGAGCCAGAAGCAACAGCAGUCAACGGGACCAGGACAGACGGCGAGUCAGCGAGGAAUUGCUACUCAUCACCCCUCCCGCCGGAGUUUAUGCAGGAACACACAUUGCUAACGGGACGCGGAAGCAGGGCGGUGCGUUAGGCAGGGUAAAAGUUGAAAAUAAAGAAUUUAGUUUGCAG
rnacentral:lncRNA from 1 species